CCACCUGAUUCCAUCCCGAACUCAGAAGUGAAACGAAACAGCGUCGAUGGUAGUGUGGGGUUUCCCCAUGUGAGAGUAGAACAUCGCCAGGC
rnacentral:rRNA from 1 species